GUCCACGCCGUAAACGGUGGGCACUAGGUGUUGGCGACAUUCCACGUCGUCGGUGCCGCAGCUAACGCAUUAAGUGCCCCGCCUGGGGAGUACGGCCGCAAGGCUAAAACUCAAAGGAAUUGACGGGGGCCCCGCACAAGCAGCGGAGCAUGUGGCUUAAUUCGACGCAACGCGAAGAACCUUACCAAGGCUUGACAUACACCGGAAACGUCUGGAGACAGGCGCCCCCUUGUGGUCGGUGUACAGGUGGUGCAUGGCUAUCGU
rnacentral:rRNA from 1 species